rnacentral:rRNA from 1 species
UAACGCGUAGGAACCUGUCGCACAGAGGGGGAUAACGCUGGGAAACCGGCGCUAAUACCGCAUGUGGUUCUUGGAGGGGACUUCAAGAAAGAAAGCAGCAAUGCGCUGUGUGAGGGGCCUGCGUCCGAUUAGCUUGUUGGUGGGGUAAAGGCCUACCAAGGCAUCGAUCGGUAGCUGGUCUGAGAGGACGGUCAGCCACACUGGGACUGAGAUACGGCCCAG